CCUACGGGGAGCAGCAGUCGAGAAUCAUUCACAAUGGGGGAAACCCUGAUGGUGCGACGCCGCGUGGGGGAAUGAAGGUCUUCGGAUUGUAAACCCCUGUCAUGUGGGAGCAAAUUAAAAAGAUAGUACCACAAGAGGAAGAGACGGCUAACUCUGUGCCAGCAGCCGCGGUAAUACAGAGGUCUCAAGCGUUGUUCGGAAUCACUGGGCGUAAAGCGUGCGUAGGCUGUUUCGUAAGUCGUGUGUGAAAGGCGCGGGCUCAACCCGCGGACGGCACAUGAUACUGCGAGACUAGAGUAAUGGAGGGGGAACCGGAAUUCUCGGUGUAGCAGUGAAAUGCGUAGAUAUCGAGAGGAACACUCGUGGCGAAGGCGGGUUACUGGACAUUAACUGACGCUGAGGCACGAAGGCCAGGGGAGCGAAAGGGAUUAGAUACCCGGGUAGUC
rnacentral:rRNA from 1 species